UGUAUUUCACUGAAAUGAGGGAUGAGAAGGGGUGGAGGUGGAUCUGUGUGAGUGAGCUGUUUAAAUAUUUAGAACAAGGUGGUUAACAAACCUGAAGAAAGCAUAUGAAUGUGCUCUCCCAGAGUGUCCAUUAUUAAUUUAAUUUCAUAUUUAGCUGCACUCAUUGAAGAUGUUCUGAGAAGGUUUCUCUGACACUGUUUUGGAAAACAUGCUGGAAUUACGGUAUAUAGUGUAAAUGGAAAUAUGUACAUUGUGGUUUUCUUUAUUUUAAAUAAAGCAUUGUUGCUUUUAUUUAUUGAAAUCAUGCAGUGAAGUGCUUCCUAGCAUGAACUGCAUUAAACGAUUAAACGACUACCCUCGACUGUGUCUUAAAUAGGUUUGGCCUUCAUGGGUCAUCAGACAAGCAAAUCCAACCUCCCUCCCUGAAUCUCUCUCUAUUUAGAAGACACUCUCUAUAAAGCUGUGGAGAACAGAGAAGAUCCCACAGGUCCAACUUCAACACCAACCAUGUUCUCUACAUCUCUACUGCUCCUGCUGGCAGCUGCAUCCUGUGUUCACUGUGUUGAACUGACUCAGCCUGGUUCCAUGGUGGUCCGUCCAGGCCAGAGUCUGACCAUCGACUGCAAGGUUUCAUAUUCAGUCACAAGCUAUAGUACAGCUUGGAUCCGUCAGCCUGCAGGAAAAGCUCUGGAGUACAUAGGAUACAUCCAUAGCAGUGGGAGCUCAUAUUACAACGAUAAACUGAAAAACAAGUUCAGCAUCUCCAGAGACACUGGAACCAACACAAUAACAUUACAAGGACAGAAUCUGCAGACUGAAGACACAGCUGUGUAUUACUGUGCAAGUUACACACAGUGA